rnacentral:rRNA from 1 species
GACGAACGCUGGCGGCGUGCUUAACACAUGCAAGUCGAACGGUGACGAGGAGCUUGCUCCUCCGAUCAGUGGCGAACGGGUGAGUAACACGUGAGUAACCUGCCCCAGACUCUGGGAUAACAGUUGGAAACAGCUGCUAAUACCGGAUACGAGACGGAGAGGCGUCUCUACCGUCUGGAAAGUUUUUCGGUCUGGGAUGGACUCGCGGCCUAUCAGCUUGUUGGUGAGGUAAUGGCUCACCAAGGCGACGACGGGUAGCCGGCCUGAGAGGGCGACCGGCCACACUGGGACUGAGACACGGCCCAGACUCCUACGGGAGGCAGCAGUGGGGAAUAUUGCACAAUGGGCGAAAGCCUGAUGCAGCGACGCCGCGUGAGGGAUGACGGCCUCGGGUUGUAACCGUAC